UACGUAGGGGGCGAGCGUUUGUCCGGAGUUACUGGGCGUAAAGCGCACGCAGGCGGUCUGCUAAGUUUGGAGUGACAGUUGGUGGCUUAACUGCCAAAGUGCUUCGAAAACUGACAGACUUGAGGGCUUCAGAGGGACACGGAAUUCCGGGUGGAGUGGUGAAAUGCGUAGAGAUCCGGAGGAACACCAAAGGCGAAGGCAGUGUCCUGGGGAGUACCUGACGCUCGAGGUGACGAAAGCCAGGGGAGCGAACGGG
rnacentral:rRNA from 1 species